GCUCAUCGGCUUUGUACUGUGAAAUCUUAGAAGGAGAAUAGAAAUACGUAGAGGUUUCUCACAGCCCUAACCCUAAUCUUUACAUGGAAGGAGGAGAGAGCGGAGAGGGAGGCCGAGAGGAGGACGACGAGCGCAGGGAGAAUUCUUUUAUUUAAAUCCAUGUUCGUGGGACCCAGUGAGACACGGUCCUCGAGCCAAACCGUGUGGCCCCUCCAAGCAAUAAAAAUUUAAAAAAGGUUUAUUUGUAUCGUCGACGAACCCUCACCGCUCGUCGGCACUGAACGGAAGACAAUAAUAAAGGAGCGACAAGAAGUUGAACAAUGGAUUCUCCAACUCUGCAUUUGGAGAUUGUUAGGUUCGACGGAGAUGGAGGCGGCCGGUGAAGAGGAGCAAGACGGGCUCUCGAUUCACUCGGCAGGCCAGGUGCCGCCUUUACUAUAAUCCACUUUGUCCUGUCUCUCUAUAAUAUUUUUUAUAGCAUUUCAAAAAGUCGUGUCCUUCUACGUGUAUUCUAUGUUAAUGACCUGGUUUCAUGAGGAGAAAUCGCAAAUUGAGCUGGAAUUGUGACUUUUGGAAGCUCUAGAAAUGUAUCCUCCUUCUCAAUUACAGGGAUUUCACCAUCAUUUUGUUCUUUAUGGGCUGAUGGAAUAUCUGAUGAAGAGCUUUGAUAGACAGUUCACAUCGAAGGAAAUAUUGCAGUUGUUGGAUCGCUUUUAUAAUUUAGAAGCAAUGGUGAGAAGAAUCCCUUUUAGUCUCUCCAUCUCUCUCUAGUUCAGUAGUAUUGUUAUUUAAAAAAGAAAGGUUUUGUUGGUAGUUGAAGUUUAUUAUUUCUCAAUUUCACCAUUUGCAGUAGCAUGCAAUGCAGAUGUUAAAAACAGGCAAUAUUUUGUGGCAUUUAUUGUAUUAUUAUCAAUGUUAAUAUCUACAUGCUUGCAUA